AGCAGACCAGGGAGACCCGAGCAAAGCUGCCCAGGCGGCGGGACCCCCGCCUCCUGGGCGGCUUUGCUCGGGUGUCCCUGGUCUGCU
rnacentral:pre_miRNA from 1 species